UUUUCAGAUAUGUUGGAUCGAAUUGCGAAUCUAAGUAUCUGAAAAGGUCUGAAAAAUUAUGUCUCCGAGCCAGUCGGAAACAGAUUCUCGUUCUUUUUGUGGGUAUGCAAAAUACCUACUUGCAAGUCGAAAUAGUUGUAAUACGUGUUGCACCCCAUCCAACUUUUCUACUCCCGCGUCGAAGUCGCUGAGUCACUGUAAAAGAGACAUAGUUCUUUGUUGUAUUGGUUAUGGAUCUGGUAGAGAGUUUUGUAUUGGUCAUGGAUCUGGUAGAGAGUUUUGAUGCCUAACAUUAGGGACUGGAUAUGUGAAAACUGACCUCAUGUUCCUGAAGACAAUGUACUAAACUUAUUUUAACCAUUAUUAAAGGUUGCAGUCCACGAUUGCGUCAGGGUGCCGGCGGUCUGGAAUACCGAGAUCGUCAGGGAUUUGCUGCCACCGGUAAAAUUCAAGGAGUUUGUUUACUCUUUCUGAUCAUUCUUAAGGCUAUACCCCAAUCAGCUACUGAACGCCUUUUUCUUCAAUUUGACAUGUUGAGCAAGGAUAUUUCAUUCAAAUUAUUUUUGUUUUAAGAAGAAAAAAUUUUUUUUUUUUCUUUUUGAAAGGUUAGGGAAGUCAGGGAAUGAGACAGUUUUGGAGUCAGAAAUUGAGGGAAAGUCAAGUAAUCCGAAGAUGAAGAAAUUACAGAAAGUCUGAUUUUUUGACUUGCAUAAGGUAAGGUCGGGUAACUGGACAAAGAAAUGCCCUCUGUAUUUGUACCCUAUUACUGACAUAAAUUCACUAAAACAUGUCAAGAACCUACAUAAAUUCUAUUCCAAUGAAAAGCUGCAAGUGAGUAUUCCGGAAGUCGGCAGCAAGGUUGUAAAUUAAAAUGCAUCGUCCUAGAGUAGAUGUAUGAUUGAAGAAAAGAAGUUUCCUUCAGUAUCUGCAACAAAGAUCUUGGUUUAUUCUAUUUUCUCAGGUGUUUGCUCACGUUUCAGAAUGGCGAUGAUGGUGUCGGUGUCAGCUACUGUCGGCUACAGGAUGAGGAUGGGGUAUUUACUAUGGGAGAUCCUCCAGAUAACAAACUACCGGAUCAAAUGCACAAUCGAGCAAUCAUUUUACCAUCGUGUGUCGACCUGGUCCGGAGCCUUCAACAAUGUUAAAGCCUUCAGUUUUAGAGUGUUUGCUCACGUUUCAAAAUGGCAAAGAUGGUGUUGGUGUCAGCUACGAGAUGAGGCAUUUACUACCUACUAGAGAUCCUCCAGAUAGGGAACUACAGGAUCAUAUGCAGGAUCGAGCUAUCAUUUUACCGUUGAGUAUAGACCUGGUAUCCAGCUCCCAACAAUUGUUGAAGGCUCCAGUCUUGAGUAAGUUUAAGUUUUCACCUCUUAUGAGAAAUCUCCUGGAGUCCGAACCUAAAAAUUUAGUUUAUGGCCU
rnacentral:lncRNA from 1 species